UUAGAAUGAGAGCUUCGGCAGGAUUUCUUUCCAUCUUAGUGGCGGACGGGUGAGUAACGUGUGGGCAACCUGCCCUGUACUGGGGAAUAAUCAUUGGAAACGAUGACUAAUACCGCAUGUGGUCCUCGGAAGGCAUCUUCUGAGGAAGAAAGGAUUUAUUCGGUACAGGAUGGGCCCGCAUCUGAUUAGCUAGUUGGUGAGAUAACAGCCCACCAAGGCGACGAUCAGUAGCCGACCUGAGAGGGUGAUCGGCCACAUUGGGACUGAGACACGGCCCAAACUCCUACGGGAGGCAGCAGUGGGGAAUAUUGCACAAUGGGCGAAAGCCUGAUGCAGCAACGCCGCGUGAAGGAUGAAGGGUUUCGGCUCGUAAACUUCUAUCAAUAGGGAAGAAACAAAUGACGGUACCUAAAUAAGAAGCCCCGGCUAACUACGUGCCAGCAGCCGCGGUAAUACGUAGGGGGCAAGCGUUAUCCGGAAUUACUGGGUGUAAAGGGAGCGUAGGCGGCAUGGUAAGCCAGAUGUGAAAGCCUUGGGCUUAACCCGAGGAUUGCAUUUGGAACUAUCAAGCUAGAGUACAGGAGAGGAAAGCGGAAUUCCUAGUGUAGCGGUGAAAUGCGUAGAUAUUAGGAAGAACACCAGUGGCGAAGGCGGCUUUCUGGACUGAAACUGACGCUGAGGCUCGAAAGCGUGGGGAGCAAACAGGAUUAGAUACCCUGGUAGUCCA
rnacentral:rRNA from 1 species